CUGCUCCUGAAUCAAGGCCUGCAGCUUCCUGAUGCUGUUGGUUUCAAGCAGGAGCCUAAAGAGAUGUCUUUCUAUCGUGUGUUGACCAUUUCAGAACUUAGGCAGUGAAAUGAUCAAUUCAUCAGAAAGAACAGCU
ensembl:snoRNA small nucleolar RNA SNORA2/SNORA34 family